CGAACGCUGGCGGCAGGCCUAACACAUGCAAGUCGAACGAGAAGCGGGACUUCGGUCCCGUGGACAGUGGCGGACGGGUGAGUAACGCGUGGGAAUUUGCCUUGGAGUGGGGGACAACCGCUGGAAACGGCGGCUAAUACCGCAUACGCCCUACGGGGGAAAGAUUUAUCGCUCUAAGAGAAGCCCGCGUCUGAUUAGCUUGUUGGUGAGGUAACGGCUCACCAAGGCGACGAUCAGUAGCUGGUCUGAGAGGAUGAUCAGCCACACUGGGACUGAGACACGGCCCAG
rnacentral:rRNA from 1 species